UACGAAGGGUGCAAGCGUUACUCGGAAUUACUGGGCGUAAAGCGUGCGUAGGUGGUUUGUUAAGUCUGAUGUGAAAGCCCUGGGCUCAACCUGGGGAUUGCAUUGGAUACUGGCAGGCUAGAGUGCGGUAGAGGGUAGUGGAAUUCCCGGUGUAGCAGUGAAAUGCGUAGAGAUCGGGAGGAACAUCUGUGGCGAAGGCGACUACCUGGACCAGCACUGACACUGAGGCACGAAAGCGUGGGGAGCAAACAGG
rnacentral:rRNA from 1 species